rnacentral:rRNA from 1 species
GACGAACGCUGGCGGCGUGCCUAAUACAUGCAAGUUGAGCGCUGAAGGUUGGUACUUGUACCAACUGGAUGAGCAGCGAACGGGUGAGUAACGCGUGGGGAAUCUGCCUUUGAGCGGGGGACAACAUUUGGAAACGAAUGCUAAUACCGCAUAAAAACUUUAAACACACGUUUUAAGUUUGAAAGAUGCAAUUGCAUCACUCAAAGAUGAUCCCGCGUUGUAUUAGCUAGUUGGUGAGGUAAAGGCUCACCAAGGCGAUGAUACAUAGCCGACCUGAGAGGGUGAUCGGCCACAUUGGGACUGAGACACGGCCCAAACUCCUACGGGAGGCAGCAGUAGGGAAUCUUCGGCAAUGGACGAAAGUCUGACCGAGCAACGCCGCGUGAGUGAAGAAGGUUUUCGGAUCGUAAAACUCUGUUGGUAGAGAAGAACGUUGGUGAGAGUGGAAAGCUCAUCAAGUGACGGUAACUACCCAGAAAGGGACGGCUAACUACGUG